rnacentral:lncRNA from 1 species
GCUCGGGCAGUGGGCAUAUGCUCGUGUUGGUUUUGCAACUCGUUUGACAUGGAUGCCAGCACAUAACACUUGAUCCAACUGUCUUCAUCCGUCCACUUCUUAAAAGCAGCUCUUUGCUCAGCAGUAGGAUAGUUUGGUAACACAAAAGGAUCCUGAUCGAGAAUAUGGCUUAACUUUUCUGAGGUCAGGAUAAUUCUGAGGUUUCUGAGUCAGUCUUUAUAAUUCUUACCAGUCAAAUGAUUGGUUUCAAGGAUGCGAGCUAGAGGGUUUGAACUGACAUGAUGGUUUAAUUGCAAGACUAGAGAUUCAAGUUAGACUUUUGUACUUAAUAUUUUAAUUUACUUCCGGAGACUUUAAGAUGCAAAUAAUGAGUCCCACUAAUUUUUCAGAUCCCUCCACUCUCCGAAAAGAAAAUAAAAAUUAUAAUGCGAUAAAAGAUUCCUAGUGGGUGCUACGGUCCCACCAAUAACAUGCAUCUC